UACGAAGGUCCCAAGCGUUAUCCGGAUUUAUUGGGUUUAAAGGGUGCGUAGGCGGCUUAUUAAGUCAGUGGUGAAAGCCCCAAGCUUAACUUGGGAACUGCCAUUGAUACUGAUGAGCUUGAGUAGAUUUGAGGCGGGCGGAAUGUGUCGUGUAGCGGUGAAAUGCUUAGAUAUGACACAGAACACCAAUUGCGUAGGCAGCUCGCUAAACUCUUACUGACGCUGAGGCACGAAAGCAUGGGGAUCAAACAGGG
rnacentral:rRNA from 1 species